rnacentral:rRNA from 1 species
UACGUAGGGCGCAAGCGUUGUCCGGAAUUAUUGGGCGUAAAGAGCUCGUAGGCGGUUUGUCGCGUCUGCUGUGAAAACCCGAGGCUCAACCUCGGGCCUGCAGUGGGUACGGGCAGACUAGAGUGCGGUAGGGGAGAUUGGAAUUCCAGGUGUAGCGGAUGAAAUGCGUAGAUAUCUGGAGGAACACCGGUGGCGAAGGCGGCGAUCCUGGACCGACACUGACGUGAG